GACGAAGGUGGCAAGCGUUACUCGGAUUCACUGGGCAUAAAGCGCGCGUAGGUGGCUUGGUAAGUCGGGGGUGAAAGCCUGCAGCUCAACUGCAGAAUUGCCCCCGAUACUGCCGGGCUUGAGGGCAGGAGAGGUGACCGGAACUCAAGGUGUAGCGGUGAAAUGCGUAGAUAUCUUGAGGAACACCAGAGGCGAAGGCGGGUCACUGGACUGCUUCUGACGCUAAGGCGCGAAAGCUAGGGGAGCAAACAGG
rnacentral:rRNA from 1 species